rnacentral:rRNA from 1 species
AACGAACGCUGGCGGCAGGCCUAACACAUGCAAGUCGAGCGAGGACUUCGGUUCUAGCGGCAGACGGGUGAGUAACGCGUGGGAAUGUGCCCUUCUCUACGGAAUAGCCCUGGGAAACUGGGAGUAAUACCGUAUACGCCCUAUUGGGGAAAGAUUUAUCGGAGAAGGAUCAGCCCGCGUUGGAUUAGGUAGUUGGUGGGGUAAUGGCCUACCAAGCCGACGAUCCAUAGCUGGUUUGAGAGGAUGAUCAGCCACACUGGGACUGAGACACGGCCCAGACUCCUACGGGAGGCAGCAGUGGGGAAUCUUAGACAAUGGGGGCAACCCUGAUCUAGCCAUGCCGCGUGAGUGAUGAAGGCCUUAGGGUUGUAAAGCUCUUUCAGCUGGGAAGAUAAUGACGGUACCAGCAGAAGAAGCCCCGGCUAACUCCGUG